CGCCUCCUGCAGUAUAUAGGAGGUCCAGCCUGCCCAGUGACCAAGUUAAACGGCCGCGGUACCCUAACCGUGCGAAGGUAGCGCAAUCACUUGUUCUUUAAAUGAGGACUAGUAUGAAUGGCAUCACGAGGGUUACACUGUCUCCCACCUCUAAUCAGUGAAACUGAUCUCCCCGUGAAGAAGCGGGGAUAAAACUAUAAGACGAGAAGACCCCAUGGAGCUUCAAACCCGGCAUCAACCAUUAACAUUAAUACCACAUUAAAUAAAUGGACCUGACUGCUGGUUUUAGGUUGGGGUGACCGCGGAGCAUAACAAAACCUCCAUGAUGAACGACCUCCUCUCUAAUCCGAGAGCCACCACUCAAAGAAUCAAAAAAUUGACAUUUAUUGACCCAAACUAUUUUGAUCAACGAACCAAGUUACCCUGGGGAUAACAGCGCAAUCCAUUUCAAGAGCCCCUAUCGACAAAUGGGUUUACGACCUCGAUGUUGGAUCAGGGUAUCCUAGUGGUGCAGCCGCUACUAAAGGUUCGUUUGUUCAACGAUUAAAACCCU
rnacentral:rRNA from 1 species